GAAAGUAGCUGCAGCAUCCGGAGAUAUGAGGAAAGCUCUUGGUAUCUGCAGGGGUGCAAUCGAAAUGCUUGAAUCUGAACCUCGAGAAUCUACCGGCACUUCAAAUCUGACAUCAAUGGUCAGAGUUGAUCAUAUGGCCAUGGCUUUGUCAAGGGCUUACAAAUCACCAAUAGUUGACACUGUACAGUCUCUUCCCCAACAUCAUCAGGUACCGUUGUUCUACCUUAAAAAGUCUUGAGGUGGCAACAUGG